rnacentral:rRNA from 1 species
UAGUUAAGUGCUUGAAACUCAAAGAAUUUGGCGGUGUUUUAGUCCAUUCAGAGGAAUCUGCCCCGUGAUCGAUAGUUCACGAGUUAUUUUACUUAAUUUGGUAUAUCAGUUUGUAUACCGCCGUCAUCAGAUUAUCCUUUCAGGGUUUAAUUUUCUUGGAAUUUGAUUAGAGAGAAUGUCAGGUCAAGGUGCAGCUAAUGAUUAAGUGGAGGUGGAUUACAAUGGAAAUAUCUAUAUGGAUUUUGAUGUGAAAGUAUUAAUUGAAGGUGGAUUUGAUAGUAAUUUUGUUUAUUAACAAGUUGAUUUUGGCUCUAAAACAUGUACACAUCGCCCGUCGCUCUCGUUAUUAAGGUGAGAUAAGUCGUAACAAAGUAGAUGUACCGGAAGGUGUAUCUAGAAAGA